ACUCUCAUGAGUCGAGAAGCCCUCACCAGAUGGCAGGGCAGAGAGUUGCUUCCUCAGUGCUUUCAGGUAAAAUCUUACAUGACAGAGCACAAGAAAACACGUUACUCUAAAAAGCAAAUUGACGGAAUCUGUCAUUAAAAAAAAACUAAAAUUAUACAAGACUCUUCAUGUCUCAAGGAAAAUAAUGGAGAAGAAAUGUCAGGCGCUGUGGUUUUUCUGAAUAGAUUUGAGCACAUAUGCACCACAAGCCAUUUUUUAGGAAAGUCAACUUUUCACACAUUUACAGAAAUAAUUUGCUUCAGAUCUGCAAAGAAGGCUUGAAGCCACAUGUGUUUUCUAAACUGCCAAUCCACGAUAAUGUCUGGAGUAUCUUUUUUUUUUUUUUAAAUACCUAAAUUAGAUCUAUGCAGAGUGUGGAAACAGCAGAUAACUAGCAAUACAGAGUUAGUAGAGGAAAAAAAAGGAACUUUCUUGAAGCGUCUCCCCUCCCCCAGACAAAGUAAAAUGACUGUAUUGUGCUGUUAUCGACAGAGUUGCACGCAGCAAAUGCUCGAAUCAUUUCAGAGAUAAUGAGACAUUAUGUUUCUUAGUUCACUAUUUAAAAAUAUAAAACCAACAAUUACAGAUGGAAACUAUUCAUUCUGAGAUUUAUGGAGGGAAAAGCAGAAAAACAAAAAAAAAGUCCAUGUCUUUCUAAUGGCUGCGUAUACUGCAGAUAAUUGAGCCACAGAAAGGGAGUUGUGUUUACAGAGAGAAGCCAGCGGGCAAGGAAGAUGUGCUGUGGGUUUGGGCCUGGUUCUGACACAGUCUCAGCCUCAGGGAGGCCUCUGUGGCUUCUGUGCGUAGAGGCCACAGCCAUCACCUCCCUGGGUCUCUGAUCUUUCGUGGUCUUGCAAUAGUUUCCAGCAGUGGGAGACCCCGUUACAAAAUAAACGGUACCUCAGGCAGAGACUGAUCUCACUAGGGAAGCCCAUGAUUGCAAGAAAUGUCACACGUCUAACUACGGAGACAGGAAAGCCUUGCUAUUUGAAUCAUUGAAGUCUGGGUGGGUGUACUAGUGAAUAUCUCAUCAUAGAAUUUAAAUGAUCUUUCUCUAUGUAUUUUCAGCACUGUUCAGCAGCACAGGCAUUGUUCUGGAGUAGCCCGUGAACUGUAAACAGAUUCUCAGUAUGCAGCAGGCAAAUCGCCUUGGGUGGAUACCUGAAACUUUAAGUGUUUUAAGCACUUGUCCUGAGAUACAUUUUUUAGAUUAUCAAUUUGCACUGUGUAGAUGUCAAAGCUUAAUAGACAAAGACAAACUUCAGCCCAGCCCUGGUCAUAAUGAACAAAAUUUCUGAAGUUAAUAAAAUCCUUAAAAAGUACAUUAUAAUGUGUUUAAAAAAAUCCAUUUUUAGUUAAUAGCAGUAAUGCUACUAUUCAGUGUUAUAAACGGUUUUACAACCAGAUUCAAACACUAGAAUCUAUGCCCUUCAAAAACAUUAAACAUGUAUUUACUUUCAUUGAAAAAUACUCAUUUGAUUUUAUUAUAUUUGUGAAAACAUAUUUUGCAGUAUUUAAAUAUUGGCGUAUUAACUGAUAAAUUAUCUCCUGGUUCCUAGAAAACGUUCAUUAAGAUCUCAAAGGCUUUAUCUGUAUUUUACAUGUUUCUCUGAAGAAAAUGUAUUAUUUAGAAAACAAACAGUGUUGCCAUGUGAUAGGUUUUUUUUCAAAUGAGACAACACAACGGAAUAAAAUAUAUGAUCUGUAGCUGCUGAGGCUGAGUCAGUUCCUGUUUCAAUAACAAGAGUGUCAUCUGCUAAACUCUAACCAGCACAAUUUGUCACCGUGGAUGUGGCUUUAUUUGUACAUGUUGCCAGAAAGUUCUUAGGGAAAAUUCACUCAUAGUUUUCAUACCAAAAAAGAAACUUUUGGUGAGCAGUUCUGGCUCCGGCUGUGGCCUUGUUUAUUAUUUAUGCUGUAACCAAUGCUUCCCUAAUGGAAGGGUAAUGCUUGCCUAGCUACAUAAAAUAAUGCCUCAGUUUUCUCUGGGGAAUUAAUAAUUUGCUCAUGUCACCCCAAAGCUCUCACACGCUUGUGCGGUAGUUUUCCAAACAGUGAGCAGUGCGCCCCAAUGGCAUGGCAGAGAGAAUUCCCAAGCUGAGAAUCAGAAGACCUGCAGUUUUGUCUGGCUUUGCUAAGUGACUUUUGGAUCUUGGACUUCUGUUUUCACAUCUACAGAAUUAUGCCAUUGAAUAACAUGUUCUCUAUGCUUUCUUCUAGCGAAAAACUCUCUUAAUUCUUUUUCUAGAAUCAUGAAAUUGAGUUGGCAGUCUUUGCUUGGUCAGAGCCUGAUGUUUCCUGAAUUUAGAACUUGGUUCCCCCGAGACCCUCUGGACUAAUUUAAAAUGAUUCAUCCGCGUGAGUCAUUGCCCUGCUGCCUUCAGGACAAGAUGUCUAUCUAUUGUCUUGCUGCUACCAUUUUUUACAAAUAACUCCAGCUCAGCAGCUGCAGACUCGAGACCCUGCACCUGGUGACAUCGGCCGGAAGACAUCAGCUGGCUCUCUGCAGACACACCUGGAGGGAGGGUUUGGGAGGAAGGGGGCUGGGGCCUCCGGUCUGACCACCUCUGAAACACCAUCCCAGGCUGUCUCUGAGGUUCAUGUGGUUUGGGUCAGAUUCUCAGUAGAAUGAGAGGCAUUUCAGGGACCUUCCAAGUCCUGAAAGAAGCCACUGGGCAAAUAAUUGGGUGUCACAUUCCUUUUAGAGCCAGAAGGAAACAACAUCCUAUCAGAAGGAAGGGGAAUUUCCUGCCAUGAAAAGGAAUCUUAGAGCAAAACCGAGUCAUGGUUUUGCCCGAAUUUUAAAAUCCUGUUGCUUAUAUGGAAGCAUAUGGGUCCUAACAAUUUCUCUUUCAAAAUCCUCAUAGUGAAUGACAUUAUGGCCAUGUUUCUCCCUCAAGUGUGUCUUAAAAAUGCAUCUAGAGUCUAACUAUAAAGGCAUCAUUCAGUUGUAAUAAUUAACAUCUUAUUUGCAUUCAGUACAAUUCUAAGUUCCACAUAAGUGUCUAAUCUGGUGAUGGGCGUUGUAUGAUUGCUAAGUAAAUAUUUGCCGUUGGUUAUAAAGAAUGAAUAAGAUGGGCACGGCCCUGUUUUCCUGUUGUCGUAGCCCAGGGUUGCCUUCUCUAUAAACUAUGUGUGACUGCAGCUGAAUCAGUGAAGCCAUCACCACCGGCCUCAUGCAUCACUGUCCUGUGGACCUGUGAGUAGUUCCAACACUCCCAUGUGGUCAGCCUGCUUUACUUGAAACUCAGUUACAUAAACCUGUUGAAGAUAAUGCUGCUAUGUGAUUGCUGACAACUUUCCAAAUGCCCUGUUUGCUGCUCAAGCUGAUGUUCCCAAGGAGAGAGUUGCAAGUAUUGGAGGAAGCACCACCCUCAGGGAAUGAGCUUGCAAUCUGCUUCUCUGUGGCCCUGGGUCAGUCCCAAUGUGAGCAUGCCAAAGAGGACCCAGGCUGACGUUGGGGUUUCCAUCCGUUCAGAAUGACUUGAUCCUUCCCUACCAAUUAGAACUAAUUAGGGUCUCUGGGUGCCAUGAAGAUCACGAGAAAUGCAGAGUCUACUCCUGAAUUGCUUUGUUUCAUCAAAUGUCUGUGGCUAGAUAUCAACUAGGGUUGCCAUUUCCUGCUUCAGUUCAAAUCAGACCGAUAAUUGCGUUCUGCAGUUGUCUCCAGCUAGCUGGUCCUCCCUUCCAGGCCCUCUCUCUGCCAGUCUGCUCUGUGCUUCAGGAGAAUAAUCCUCCUGCCAUAGAUUGAUGGAUGCCUGCACACUGCUUUCACUUCCCAUUUUAAGACCUCAUCCCUCCAGGCAGCCUCCCUUGGUUUGGAAUCUUGGCUGUGAAUUGCCAAACCUCAAGCCCCCUGCAGACUUACUUAGCUCUGCGUCCCUAUAACAUCCCAUAGCUCCAGCCGUAUCCGUCUGCAUCCCAGCCCGCAGUGCGGUCAAGAGCUGUAAAGUCACUUCUCUCCUUCUGGCUGGUUGUUUAUGUGGACUGACUGUCCUGCUGGCUGCCUUUGCUGAUGAGAGUGUUGCCUUCCACAGAGAUCAGGCCACCUGGGAGAGCCACUUCUGUCCACCCAUCCCUGAGGGGAUGCUUCUCCGUCCCUUCUGCAUGCCUCCUGCACUCGGUGGCUGUGCUCUGGGAGAGUUACCCUGCGAUCUACACUUUCGGCUGCACCACCCUCUGCAGUGAAGAGUGUCUAAGGUUUCCCUACUGCACAGAACACUCGAGAUCCGUGGUGUGACAGGAAGAGCUUUCCAGCUGCGUGGCCUUGGGCCGUCUUACUCUCUGGGCCUCAGUUUCCUCAUUGGUAGCAUGGAGCACUGAAAGCUACGAACAGGAGCUGUGAGGGUGAAUGGAGGAUUCAUGCCAGAGCCUGGUGGGAUGCCCCUGCAGAGCAGAUGCUCAGGAAACCCUCCUGCCAGCUCCUGGGGAGCACGGGAGGCGCUGGCUCCUUAGUUCUCUAUGGAAGGACGGUUCUGCACCAGAUAUUAUUAUUAGAGUCUCUUAUUUGGAAUUCUGGACUUGUGUGCUCGACAGGGGCCUCAAGUCCCCAGUGUCGCUCAAUAGUGACAAACCCAAAUAAAAGAUCCUGGCAAAUGAUUAGCAGCCUUUCCUGCUGCUGUGCUCAUAAACGCUGUUGCUAUUUUUGGGCCAGCAUUGUUCAACCUGGAUUUAGUUCUCCUUUGCUGUCUAUUUUGGCUCUGACCUGCUCUGAAAGGGCAGGCUCCACGCCGGGUGUCACGCCCAAUGGCUUCUCCACGGUCUUUGUCCAAAUGGACUCAGUGAGGAUAUCACCAGCGGAAAAGUAAAAGAUGAGAGGACUUGAAAAAAAUAUCUUCCAUUCAGAAUCUUUUUAAAAAUAUACUUUCAAACAAAGAGGUAUUAUAGAAAGCAUUUUGCUUUUUCGUUUAAAGCUAAAGAAAAUCAGAGUCACCUAGAAAUGUGAGUUACUGGAGGAAGAGAGGAAUGGUUAAGAUCAUUCUACAGUGUCUAUAUGUACUUAUAUAUCCCAGUGUCUGUGUGUACAUGCGUGUAUGUCUGUGUAUGUAUGUGUGUCUGUGUGUGUCUCUCCAUGUGUCUGCCUAUAUAUCUGCAUGUGUAUACGUGUGUAUGUAUAUCUGUGUAUGUACAUGUGUAUAUAUGUGUAUGUCCGUGUGUGUCUCUGUGUGUCUCUGUGUGCAUGUAUGUGUAUAUGUGUGUCUGUAUGUAUACAUGUAUGUCUGUGAGUCUCUUUGUGUGUCUGCCUGCAUAUCUGCGUGUGUGUGUGUAUGCUCUGUGUGCGUUUGUAUAUGUCUGUGUGUCUGUGUAUACACAUGUGUGUCUGUGAGUCUCUCUGUAGGCGUCUCUCUGUGUGUCUGCCUGCAUAUCUGCAUGUGUGUAUGUGUGUAUGGUCUGUGUGUGUUUGUAUGUGUG
rnacentral:lncRNA from 1 species